rnacentral:rRNA from 1 species
UGAUCCUGCCGGCGGGCACCGCUAUUGGAGUUCGCUUAAGCCAUGCGAGUCGAGAGGGGUAAGCCCUCGGCGCACUGCUCAGUAACACGCGGACAAUCUGCCCUCGAGACGGGGAUAAUCCCGGGAAACUGGGAAUAAUACCCGAUAGGUCUGGGAUGAUGGAAGGCUCCCUGGCCAAAAUCUUCCGGGGCUCGAGGAUGGGUCUGCGGCCUAUCAGGUCGUAGGGGGUUUUACGGACCCCCUAGCCGAAGACGGGUACGGGCUUUGGGAGAAGUCGCCCGGAGAUGGAUUCUGAGACACGAAUCCAGGUCCUACGGGACGCAGCUGGCGCGAAACCUCCACAAUGUGGGCAACCACGAUGGGGGAACUCCAAGUGCUUACACUUUUGUGUAAGCUGUUCUCGAGCCUAAAAAGCUCGAGAAGUAAGGGCCGGGUAAGACGGGUGCCAGCCGCCGCGGUAAUACCCGCGGCCCGAGUGGUGCUCAUUAUUAUUGAGCCUAAAGCGUCCGUAGCUGGCCGGGCAAAUCUCCGGGUAAAUCGGGCCGCUCAACGGUCCGAAUUCCGGAGACACUGCUCGGCUUGGGAUCGGGAGAGGGUGAAGGUACUCCCGGGGUAGGGGUAAAAUCCUGUAAUCCUGGGGGGGACCACCAGUGGCGAAGGCGUUCACCUAGAAACGAAUCCGACAGUGAGGGACGAAGCCCUUAGGCCGCAAACGGGAAUUAGAUACCCC